GACCCGGUGGUGAAAGGUAUCGCUCCUGCAACUGCUACUUGGAGGAGGCACUGUUUAUGCGGAGGUCCCUGGUUCGAGUCCAGGCUGGGUCA